AGCUACAGGCUUAACACAUGCAAGUCGAGGGGCAGCAUGUUCUUAGCUUGCUAAGGCCGAUGGCGACCGGCGCACGGGUGAGUAACACGUAUCCAACCUGCCGUCUACUCUUGGACAGCCUUCUGAAAGGAAGAUUAAUACAAGAUGGCAUCAUGAGUCCGCAUGUUCACAUGAUUAAAGGUAUUCCGGUAGACGAUGGGGAUGCGUUCCAUUAGAUAGUAGGCGGGGUAACGGCCCACCUAGUCUUCGAUGGUUAGGGGUUCUGAGAGGAAGGUCCCCCACAUUGGAACUGAGACACGGUCCAAACUCCUACGGGAGGCAGCAGUGAGGAAUAUUGGUCAAUGGGCGAGAGCCUGAACCAGCCAAGUAGCGUGAAGGAUGACUGCCCUAUGGGUUGUAAACUUCUUUUAUAAAGGAAUAAAGUCGGGUAUGGAUACCCGUUUGCAUGUACUUUAUGAAUAAGGAUCGGCUAACUCCGUGCCAGCAGCCGCGGUAAUACGGAGGAUCCGAGCGUUAUCCGGAUUUAUUGGGUUUAAAGGGAGCGUAGAUGGAUGUUUAAGUCAGUUGUGAAAGUUUGCGGCUCAACCGUAAAAUUGCAGUUGAUACUGGAUAUCUUGAGUGCAGUUGAGGCAGGCGGAAUUCGUGGUGUAGCGGUGAAAUGCUUAGAUAUCACGAAGAACUCCGAUUGCGAAGGCAGCCUGCUAAGCUGCAACUGACAUUGAGGCUCGAAAGUGUGGGUAUCAAACAGGAUUAGAUACCCUGGUAGUCCACACGGUAAACGAUGAAUACUCGCUGUUUGCGAUAUACUGCAAGCGGCCAAGCGAAAGCGUUAAGUAUUCCACCUGGGGAGUACGCCGGCAACGGUGAAACUCAAAGGAAUUGACGGGGGCCCGCACAAGCGGAGGAACAUGUGGUUUAAUUCGAUGAUACGCGAGGAACCUUACCCGGGCUUAAAUUGCAGAUGAAUUACGGUGAAAGCCGUAAGCCGCAAGGCAUCUGUGAAGGUGCUGCAUGGUUGUCGUCAGCUCGUGCCGUGAGGUGUCGGCUUAAGUGCCAUAACGAGCGCAACCCUUGUUGUCAGUUACUAACAGGUUCCGCUGAGGACUCUGGCAAGACUGCCAUCGUAAGAUGUGAGGAAGGUGGGGAUGACGUCAAAUCAGCACGGCCCUUACGUCCGGGGCUACACACGUGUUACAAUGGGGGGUACAGAGGGCCGCUACCACGCGAGUGGAUGCCAAUCCCAAAAACCUCUCUCAGUUCGGACUGGAGUCUGCAACCCGACUCCACGAAGCUGGAUUCGCUAGUAAUCGCGCAUCAGCCACGGCGCGGUGAAUACGUUCCCGGGCCUUGUACACACCGCCCGUCAAGCCAUGGGAGCCGGGGGUACCUGAAGUGCGUAACCGCGAGGAGCGCCCUAGGGUAAAACUGGUGACUGGGGCUAA
rnacentral:rRNA from 1 species